rnacentral:ribozyme from 15 species
ACAGAAAGCAAAUUAGAAAGGAACAAAGCCGCAAAGAAGUAUUUCAUGGUAUGUUUCUAUUGUUUCCGAUUGAUUGUUAUUUUUCUUAUUU